rnacentral:rRNA from 1 species
CAGGCUGCAACUCGCCUGCACGAAGUCGGAAUUGCUAGUAAUCGUAGGUCAGCAUACUACGGUGAAUACGUUCCCGGGCCUUGUACACACCGCCCGUCAAACCAUGAGAGUUGGCAACACCCGAAGUCGGUAGUCUAACCGCAAGGAGGACGCCACCGAAGGUGGGGUUGAUGAUUAGGGUGAAGUCGUAACAAGGUAAC